CGCCGAAUGAUGUUCUCUCCGUAAGAUCAUCAGCUAGAAUGCGGUGUUCGUGCGAGAACUUCUAGACUUUUCGUAAACACGUGGAUCAAGAAAAUUAUUCAACGACACUGGACCGCACAGAACGACUGCCGAUAGAUGCUGCAUUCGAUAUAUCGAGAGGAAGUUGGAAUUUGAAGUCGCGUUCUCUUAUUUAAGUCGAACAGUUUUGAACGUUUGGUGGGGGAGAAGAAGAAAUGUUUACUCAAAGUCGUCAUGCUCAAGCUAGCUUUCCUUAUUUUUCAUAAAUUAGACGCAAAGCUUUACGUUUUCUGUCACCCUCACAUAAAACACACGCGGGAUAUGUUAGUUAUGAUCAAUCUUAAGAAUAAAACGAAAAUAAAUAAGCACAUUUUUACAAAGUACUAAUAACUUUUACGUCAACUAAUUAUAAUUAUAAAAUAUUCUUAAAAAAAAAGUACGAAAAUACAAAGGUCCCACCGAGAUUUGAACUCGGAUCGCUGGAUUCAGAGUCCAGAGUGCUAACCAUUACACCAUGGGACCUUCCCCUGAGGAAGUAAUAGAUAAGGUACAUAUAGAUAAUUACAAAAAGUUUGUGAGAAUUUUCAUGAUUUUGUAAUUUUAAAAAUUGAUACACUAAAUUUGUAAUGUUAUCAAUAACAGGUACCAGUAGUUUUAACACGCCAUAAUGAAAAACGAUAACACAUUUUUGAUGAUAAAUAAAAAUUUAUUUAUUCGAUGCACUUGCAAAUGUUUGUUGAAAAGUAUACUUGUGUGUGCAGACUCGUAUAUAUGUAACAUGUACAAAUGUUUCGUAUAAAGUACACAAAGUACGUGUAUGUGUGCAACUAUACCUGGUGCUACCGCAUCAAGAAUUAGAGAAGGGUAAAACAUAAAAUGGUGCUACGUGCUGUUUUCUUUGUUUUAUCUCGUUGUAAUGAGUAUAACAAUGAAAGUUCUCACAGAUAACGUAUAAUCGCAUAUCGCUUUGUUAUAUAUAAUAAAUUUUCAUACAUAUAUAUAUAUAUUUAUAUAUUUUUUAAAUUUAUGUAUCUCGCGGAAUUCAGUAGGAAUUCUCUCCCUAUAUAUAUAUAAUAUAUGUAUGUAUAUAUAAAUUAUAAUACUAUAUAAAAA